UAAUUCAGAUUUGGAAAAGCACAAUAACAAGAACAUAAGAACACCAUAGUUAUAUGAACAAACUAAGCAAUGGACAUAAUAAUCGCUAAUACAAAAGACUAGAUUGAAAUUAACAAACUAUCAUUCCUAAACAUCCCUUUUAAGUUCCUACAACUUCAUUUAUUAAUUAAUGAAGUACAUGAGAAUAGGCAUCUACUGAAACUUGGAGACUAAAUGAGCAUGCUUACUCCUGAAUCUUAAAUCGAAGAAACAAGCAGCUCAUCAUUCAAACUAACUAUUAUCUAGCACAAUGACACGGUUACCCUUCACAUAUCAGAAAUUGAAACAUUAGUGAAAUACCCUACGUAUACAGUCAUGCUUCCUUAAAACACAAAUUACACAUUAGCUUUCCCCUUGAAUACCAAAACUAAUAUAAAAUGUCCAUUGUUAAUUAGAAAUUUAACAUUGCUUUUAUAUAAGCUUGUAUAUAUACCUGCCAACAACCAACUUUCAAGUGUAGGACCAGGCGAUGCUCAGCAGAAUACUAACAGUAUCAGAGAUCCAAAACACAAAAUUAAGCAUAAGUCUACAUAAUCAGAGUCCAUAGUCCAUUUUAUCAAUAUACAUGCGAAAUACUCUAUAGGUUACUCUUACAUGCACAGCUUCAGAAAAGAGAAAGCCUAAUUAAUCUCUAUAAUUUGAAGACUAAGUGCAAAAUGUAUAAAGAAAUAGCAAAAAAACAGGGAGAUCAACUUGAAUGUAGCCUUCAUUUGACUAAACUCCAACCACAUUGCAUGUCCAAGAGUCAUUCCUCAAUUAAAAGCUAAGGGGAGGUACCUGAUAUAGAUCAAACAAAAACAACAGAAAUGAAAUGUCAGCCAGAACCAGCAGGAUAGCAGGAUCAACAAGUUAAACCAGCUCAAAAUAGAAAAUGAGGUAAAAUAUUCCAGAAAAAGAUUUCAAUCCAAGCAGUGGACCAAAAGACCUCAAAUAAGAAUUGAUCUUAAUUCAUUUCAAUUAUCAGCUAAUCAGAAAUUGUUUCAGCACUCCGAAAAAUUUCAGAAAUCACCAAAAAGACUCAAUGAAACAAUGAUUUCCUAAGGUUUUUCAGCUGUUUUGAUUUCUCUUGGUUUCUAUCUUUUCCUUUCCUUUUUUUAGCUUAAGUUUUUUAUGUUUUUUAUAGGUUGAACAAUAGGGAAACCUUCAUAUUCAUUUUACCCCUUAGGUCCUUCAUUUUAUGACUUGUUAACCGAGUCAUAGUAUGAGGAUUUUAAAAAUAAACCCCUGCUAGAGCUUCUAGGGGUUUCGUAAGUGGUUACUGCAAGACUCCCUAAGUACAUUUCCUUGUUUACCCUUCCAUUGUCCUAUUUUUGUCUCUGAAGCCUACCCAAAUGGAUCAGCUGAGCUAAUUAGGUCAUAGGCCCCAAAUUGAAUCUCUAUUGGGCAUGUUGCCACCUAUAAACCAAUUACAACAUUUGUGAACAAAGCUUUCCAAUCAAAACAAAAAGCCCAGAACAUAUUUAACAAAAGGUAAAAUUAAAGACCUAGCCUCAAAGGACAAUAAAUUAUUUAUGGACCUGACUUUAUUCAUCUAAGCAAUUACUGCUACUGAAACAUUUAGGCUCGUUAAUCACAAUAAAACAAGCAGAUCAAGGAACUCAGAUAGUUCAACUAACAGGAGAAAAAUAAAAUAAAAGGACCUAGAAUAAACCCAGAAACAAAACAAUUGAAUAAUAGGAAGACCUAAAGCUAAAACAGAAAUUGCGAAAAGCCUAGUUAUGCAAUCGAAAAGAAUUUGAUCACAGACCUAAAUAAAAUGAGAGGAAGGGUACAGGGCAGGAGAAUCAGGGAGAGACGAAGCAAAGGAAUAAAUAACAAUGCGAAGCAAGAAAAACUUACCAAUUGACCUUGAAUACCACAAGCAACUCUGAUUUGGUCUCGAAUCAGCAUAGAUUGUUUGUUCUUUUUUAAGAACAAUGAAGAACACCAUUUUGAGACAAACCAGGCUGGGAAAAAACGGGUAAUUUGGAGAGGUGACCAUGCAUGUAUUAUUCUGAUUUUUUAUUCCAGAUUUGAGGGAUUUAAAGAGGAUUUGAGGUAAGGUCAUUAGGAAUUUGGAAUAGGGAAGGCCUGGUGGUCACCUGGUGGGUCGAACAGAAGUGGCGUCGCCACCGAAGAAAUUGUGGUGCCGCUACGGUUUAUGAUUUCAAAUCAAAAUUCAAAGGACUCGUAUGAGUUUCAGGGGAAACUAGUUAUGGCAUGGGUAUGAGGGUGAGGAGACGAACCAGUGGUGUAAAUUUGGUGGCUAUUGGGGAUUCACCGUGAGGCGAUUUCCGACGACGGCGGAUGGUGGACUUACAAGGGUCUUCUAGUGAGGUGAGAGAGAUGAAAUAUGAGUGAGGGAAACAGUCACGAUUAAAGCAAGCGAAACAGUGUCGUUUCGAUGAGGGGGAAGACUGGACCAGGUUGGACACAGGUUUGGGCUGGGAUUUGGGUGGUUUUCGACGGGUUUAAGGGUUUGGGCUUGGCAAUUUUAAUUGUUUUUGGCCCAAAUAUAAAAACUUGAUCCCCUUUUGUCAAAAUCUUUUCAUUUUCCCCUUUUUAUUUUCAAAAAUUAAAUAAAAAUCUAAAUUGAACCCUAGGACCUAAUUAAACUAAUUAAACCUAAAUGAUGCUUACCAUACUUAAUAAAAAAACAAAUUGAAAGAAAUACCCCCAAAAUAAAAGUUAUAAUUAAAACGGUGCACAUCAAACUAUAUAUUUUGUGAUUUUCCUUUUUAUAAAUUGACUAAUUAUUUAAUUAAUCCUAAAAUGUUAAAUCGAAUCCUAAAUGAAAAUGCAUAUAAUUUUUAGUAUUUUCCAUUGAUUAAAAUAAAAUAAACAUGCACAAACAAAUGCAAACAAUUAACAGAAAAUACCACAAAAAUUCACAAAAUUGCAAAUAAUGAAAAGAGAUCAUUUUGUUUUGAAUUUAUGGGAGUAAUUGAUAUAGGGAAAAAAUCAUGUGCUCACAACGAGAUCAACCGUCCAGAUCACAUGCCAUUAAAACGAGGUCGUUUGGAUCAUCUAUAGGGGUAGACCGGGCUUUGUUACGAUUUUGGGCCAGGGUUGGCUGGUAUCAGGGUACAAAUCGGUUUGGGCUUGGAGAGUAUUAAAUUUUUGGCCCAAAAUCUAGUUCUUUCAAUCCUUUUUCCUCUUCUUUUAUUUUAAUAACUCUUUUUCCUUUUAAAAUUAAAAAUAAAAAUCUAAAUUAAUUCCUGUAAAAGGAAACUGAAAUACAUACUCACAAAAAAAUCAAAAAUACAUAAGUGCUUCCAAAACUACUCUAGGGGCCCGUAAGACAUCAGUCGGUCUCGCCUUGGUCCUACAUGAGAUAUCUCCUUGGAAACGAUCCAGGUCAUCCAUUAUCCGGCGAACAAAAGUCAUCACUACACCGAAGAAUGCGGAUCUAGUCUUAUCCUUACACUCAUGGCAUUUCAUGACGAUGUAGUUUGCAAUUGCUCUAACCCUUUCCCUAAUGAUGCCUUUCUCUUGGAGCAGAUGCCCAAAUUGUUGAGACCUGGAUUCUAGAACAUGGGUAUCAUGAUGGCUUGCCCUACGAUUGUUGCAUGUCCUCUUACAGUCGUGACAUCAAUGCAUAACAAUGUUCCCUCUUUGCCUUAAAGUUCUUUGUGUGUUUAGCCAUUUCUUUUUUGAGGGUAGCCGGCUUUUUCUUCAGAUUUGUGACUUCUCUAUCUUAUUUCCCUUUUAAUUGCCGAACAAACUCUGCACAUCCUUUUGUGUUCUUCGCCAACUGUGACUGGGCUCUUGAUAGACUACCUUUGAAUUUUCCAAAUCAUUCCCAUACUCACAUACUUUCCACCUAAGAUCGUUUAUAAGUCUUUCAUCUGUUUGGCUUCUUUUCGGAUUCUCAUCAACUAUUCAUUCUUUGAAUCUGGGCUCGGAGGACUUUAUUUUCUUUGGCCAGCUUCUUCUUUUCACCCUCAUCUCCAGCGGCUUGUAAACCAUUAUUAAAUUUAAGAUCCUUGAUUUGCCCUUGAAACUUCAUUAUGGUGGCCUUGUAUUUAUUUUCUUUGGUCAACCAGGCCUAGUGUUCUUGCGAUGCUUCAACAAAUUCUUGGAUUUGAGGACUUUAGGCUGGCCUUUCAUGUUCGAACCUUGCCGUAAACUUCUAUUUAUACCAAGAAAGCUAACCAGGCGAGACCUUGCCUCUAGACACGUCACGUACUCAGGUGUUUGCAGUCAAAUAUUGGCACUCGUUCUAAAUAUGACGAACCACUUCUUCAUGAAAUUGGCCAUAGGAGUGGAUUUCAACUGCAUGGACACUAAGAUCUUCAUCCUUGGGAACUACCUCGAAUCUUCCCGACUGUCUAAAAACCCGAUAUGGGGCAUAAGGUUGGAUGCCUCGAAGUCCCAUUAGGAGGAAGUAAGGACCAGUGGCAGGUAUGUGCACAAUUUCUUCAACAGGAAGGCAACCCAGUGUCCAUUCUAUUUUCCCUUUAGUUACGGAAUGAAAACGGGACAACCAAUGUCCAAACCCUUCUGCCAUUUUGAACCUUGAGAGCCUUGUGCCGAACUCCUCAAUGCAGUUUUUCCCUGUAGAUCUGCAUUCAUAUAUCAAGGACGAUGACACAGAUGCUCAAUCAUCCACAUCAAUAGUGACAAAUUUCACCCUUCAAAAAAAAUCUGCCACGGCUUUGCAAGCCGUGAGAGCUCGGAAUAUCUCAGACACUAUCAUAAGGGCAAGGGUGCUCUUGCCAUUGGUAAUCAAAACAUUGAUGACUCCAGCUACAUGUAGAUCAAUCUUACCAUCUUUCCUAGGAAACACUAGAAGACCUAAGAAUUCCACCAUAAAAGCGAAGCGUCUAUGCUCUCCCAACUUUGACCGGUUCCCUUUGCUACAGUUUCCACUUUCAGGGUUGUCCAAUCCUCUUACAUGUCCAUUAAGCCGAUAUAUGAAGUGUAGAUUGGUAAACCUCUUGCCAAAUCUGUAUAUUGAACUUGCCUGAUUAUUAUUAGCAAAUCCAGAAACUUGUGAGAGGUCACAACCUUGGAGUGAUCAGGUAUUUAUGUCUUAGACCCUCGGUACUCCUAGUGUAACCUGCUACCUCCUCUAAAGUAGGUAUGAGUUUGAAGUCCGAGAAAUGAAUAAUGAUAUAAGUUAGUUCCCAAAAAGUCGCCAGUGCUUUUAUUAUGUCCCCCCUAGGCCCAAUCUUUAGUAAUCCAGUGAGCGCCCCAAGUAAAGGUUGACCAGGUCUCGUCCUUGCUUACCCAAAUCUUCCCACCACAUGUGUAGUUCCAACGGAAUCUUGGUCAUAACUUUUAUUAGUAAAUCUUGACUCGUGCUUAUUUUUCUCAUUUAGAGUAAGAUGAUUGGUUUAAAACAAAGUGAAUUUCAUUAAAGCUGAUAAAAAUGGGUCAUGCUAAAGAAAAACUCAAAAUUCAAAUACACAACGACCACUUUUGCAAAUACGGCCCUUCAACACUUAAAAAGGCAAAGAUUUUAGGGAUGAUUUUGCUACGCGGACGAACAUUUGAAAAACAGGCGUAUAUUCUUGCAAAAAUAGCCUUUCGACGCCCCGUUGGAACAUUUUGGCUAUUUAGACAAAAAUGACAUUGCCUAACUUUAUUUACGACAAAAUGACAACAUCUCUCUCUCUCUCUCUCUUUUUAAAAUUGUGGGUUAUUUUUGCAAAACAUGGGGCUGCACCCGAUGAGACUUGCCUACGUAUCCAACAUCCGGUGAGAAUCAAACUCGCAUAGUUCGGUCAGUUUUGGCGCAACAUAAAAACUUAAAAUAUUUUUUGAAAUGAUUUUCAUUUCUUUUUCUUUUCUCCUUUUCUCUUUUUUUUUGUUUUUUAUAAAUUUCGAUAGAGUUUCGAUUUUGGACACCUGAUUUUUCAAAAGUGGGUAAUUAUCUCUCUCAUACCUCAAUUUAAUUUUUUCUAAUUUUUCUCCCUAUUCUAGAAAAGUAGUCAACAUGCAAACCGAGGCAAAUAAUUAUACAAGUAGCAUCUAAGAUCCAUCCGGAUGGUCUUUCUAAUUUGUAUACACCUUUCUUAGACGCUUCCAACCCCUGUAUUGAGUCCCUAAAGUCAAAUGCACAUGACGCAAACAAGCGUUCCUGCUAGGGAUCCGACAUAAGGCUGAGUUAUUCUAGGUUUUAAACCAGGGUGUAUUAUUCUAGACUUGGUUUACCCGAGCGAACAACUCGGGCCAGGAGGGGGAUGGGCAGCAUAUCGGUAACCAAAAGAUCAUCCAACUUUGGAACUUGUCUGAACCUCGUUCUAAUUUAGGGUAUGACACUAACAUAAAGAAGUCACACAAGCGUGCACUUCCCAAAAGACGAGAAGAGAUGGGUUUUAUAGCAUUUUAUAUACAGCUCAAAUAAUAUCAAAGCGGUAAAACACAACAUUUAGCACAUUAAGCACAAACAUGUAAUAAACAAUCAGAUAAUAAAUAAAAGCCAAUUGUAAACGUUAUUCUAAGCUCGAAUUCUUGAACCCUGAACCGGAAGUUCUGUGUUGUUUGUCCCCAGUAGAGUCGUCAAAGGCGUCACACCUCUUUUUUACCACCCAAGAUGGGAUAUAAAUGAAUUUUUUCAAUUUAAGUGACAUAAUUCGAAAGGGGAUUAUUUUAUUUCAUUUUUUCAGAAUCGCUACUUGGAAUAGUUUAUUUGGUGUCCCAAGGCACCAGUUUAUUUUAAAAUCCCAAGUUGAGGACAUUUGACUUUUAAAAGUCCACAAACCAGAAAUUAUAGUUAAAAAUUUCUGUUAAUCCGAGAGAAGGUGUUAGGCAUUCCUACAUUCCGUGAUUCUAUCACGAUCGCUCAAACUCUUAAUAAUUGGCAUAUUAUCUAAUUUACUACGCAUUGUAAAACUGUUGUGCAUAUUUAACUUUAUAAUCAUUUUUAAUCAUUUGAUGGAAUUAUUCUAGAACAAGUUACGAUUAUCAUACACUUGUUUGUUUGAUACACAUUGAGAUUCAUGUCACGGGAAUCGUACCCACGAUCUACAACAUAUUUAAUUUAUUAAAAUUAUUAGAAGUUGUGGCUUUGUCACAUAAAUGUACCUCUGGAUUUGGAAAUUAGGUAUCACAACUACAUCAUGAGAAUCAUACUCAUAGCUAUGAUGAUUUUAUUACAAACGCGCCUAAAGCAAACUGCGAACGUUCAAAUAUUUUCUAUAUUAAGUUAUAAUAUUGAUGUGAGGGCCAUAGAUUAGGUGAUUCAAAUUGUGAAUAACACAUCUUGAUUUAUUUAAAAAUAUUUGUAUUUAACUAAAAGCAGGCUAAGAAUGCUCCUAUUUAAAACUAAUUCGAACUUAAUAUAAGGAUAUUAAUUAUAUACAUGUAUGGGACAUAUGUAUUGGACCUUUAAUCAUUUUUUAGGUCAAGGAUUUGGGACAGCAGGAGCCCAUUGGUUACUCGGUCAAGGAAAGAAACCAACAUUGAAGCUGUAUUAGGCUCAGAACUCAGCCCAGAACGAAAGAGACUCAAAGGCCCUUGCCUAGUUCGAGUUUUAACCAAGUCUGCCCAUAUUAGGCUUAUAUUAAGCGGGUCCAAUCGCGAAAUUUUAUUGCUUGGGCCUAUCUACUAUUACAUUUUAAGCCAUAAUACAUGUUUGCAAAAGUUGUAACUCAAAUAACUUUUAAGUAGUAAAAUCAGAACCCAAAAUAUCAAAAAUACAACUCAAGCUUGAAGAUUAAUUUCAAUAUUAAGAUUAGCAAAGAAACAUACAAGAUUUGUAUUUAUACUGGAAUUCAAAAGAGAAAAAUUUAUAACUAAACCAAGCUAUUUGGGUUUAAUGCCCAUGCCCAAUGGCCUAGGUCUAGACUUGUUAGGAUUGUUUUUUCGCAAGUCUAGCCCAUCUUUUGUCAUAGAAGCAUGUCUUUUAGAUUUGAAGGUUUGGCCCAAAUCCUUGGCCAUUGCAUCACUUAUGCUUUUAAAAAUAUCACAACAAACUAAUUACACUCUUAUCAACAAUUGAUUUAAUCUUAGUACAUAAAAUCAGAACCUAAUUCAAUAUAGUACCCCCAGAUGAAAAUCCAUUUUAUGACCUAUUAAAUACAUAAACUACUACACUAGCCAUUAAUCUAUUACAACUCCCAUGUAAUCGAUGUCCUAGUUAACACAUGUCUCUUUUGGGCAUGAUUUAUCCAUCAAAAGCUUGGUUUCUCACAUGAAGAACACUAGAUUCAGCAUGCCAAAUAGUAGAACUCUUAGCCUUUGAACCUACUAAUUUGGACAACUAGUGGCCAAAUCUACAUGUACUAGCUCAUGAUUAGCAAAUAGACCCUAAAUGACUUCAAAUAAACACCAAUCUAUUCAUUCACAGAAGAAGGAGGAGAAGAAAUGGCUUUAAACAACUAACACUCAAAAUCAGAAGAACACUUAACUAAAGAAAUAUUUUCAAAUAAAGCUACUUUCAAGAGGGAACCACAAGAAUUAGUGUGUUAAUCAAACAACUCUUAGUAGAUGAUUUCAAGCUCAAACUCAUAUAACAAAAACUAAUUAGAUCGUUAUCUAUGUAAUCAACAAAUAACAUGAAAAACACACAUUUGUCACAUGUAAUUAUGCAGUUUUAAUUUUAUAACAUUUUUAACAAACAUUACAUGAGGAAAGUUUGGAUUCAGUACCUUGAAUAAACAACAACAAAACCAGCAACUAACAAAUGAACAAGCCGGCUGAAACAUAAAAGAAAUGGAGCAGCAAUAGAACCCACACAACAAUAACCAAAAUCAAACCAAACUUCGCCACAACUACAACAGCUAACAACAGUAAACCCCAAAUAAACCAGAAAUCCUGACUUUUAAUCCAUAUUUUAACUUAUGACAACCAGAAAAUCCCCCAAAGUUCUUUAAGUUUUCUUUUGCUAAAAUAAGAAAAAAAGGAAUCAACUCGUAAGAACACAACAACAGAACUUUUAGCGAGUAUUUUUAGGGUUUGAAAAUCUGAUUGUCUGUGUGUAUCAGUGAAGAAAAGGUAUCAUAUAUAGGCACAAAACAUGCCAUGUGCUGAAAGAAUAAAGGAAUCAUUCCAUCAGCCACCAAAGGCAUAUUUUAACAGAAUUGGACAACUGGUUGUCCCUAAUUGAUUUCAGUACUUUUGUAUUAACCAAAUGAGGUCAGCUGCCCCUAUUCUAGAACCUUCCAGCAUGGUCUUUAUCCUAUUUCAAAUUUAUCCACCCCUCUCAUGACCCCUUAAGUUUUUCUUUUGUUCAAAUAAACCCUUACAAGUUUAUAAUGAUGCACAUAUCAAACAAACAUGGACUAGGCCAGCAAUUAACAAAAAUAAUGAUAAACAAAUAAUCAAGCAAUUAAAAAAAUGCAAUUGAAUUCUACAAUAAAAAACAUAGACUAAACAAAUCUGUACAUGAAUCGAAUUAUGAUGGAAUUAGUAGGAUAUUUAUGCAAUGAAACUAUUAAAAUAUGUCAAUUUACACUACCACAAGCAGAUGAAAAAAAACACAUAAAGCUGGAGCGUUGAGAAACCCUAAAUCAUGCGAACUACAAAGAACAGCCAAAAAGAGAAAAAGAAGAUUAAUAGAAAAAAUGACCAAAAAUAAACACCACAAAUGAUUUAAAGCAAACAAAAUAACCAAAUUCUAUGACCAUGAACUAAUAAUUAGACUAAAUAAAAAUGAACUUAAACCAAAUUAAAACAAACCUAAAGACAGAACCUGAUUGAACAUGCAUAAAAAGGUUAUUGACUUGAAAAAAUAAUAGUGAAGAAGACAAUGUGAGGCCUUACCAGAACAAACAUUGGAAAGAAAUUUGGUCCAGGGUUCAUAAGAGGCUGGCUAGAUUCCGGUUGUGCUUUGAAAUAGGUCCAAAAAUACAAUAAGCAAUCGUUUUUGUAGAGAAAUAUUAAUUAUUGUAAAUUUAGAGCCAAGUCGUGCCUUGAAGCUCAAAGGACCAGAAGAAAAAUCGAAAAAGGGGUAACCUAGGGUUUCUGAGGUCUCAAUUCAAGAUUCAAGGAGAUGGGAACUGAUUGGAAAGGAACUCUUGUGAUAUUUGGAGAGAGAAUGAGAAUGGAGAUUACAUGGUGUUAUUUUGGUAGGGUUUGGAGGAACUCCACCGCCAUAAAGCUAUUUUCGGGGGGCGGAGCAGGGCAGAGCCGGUAAGGGAAUAUGGGCGGCUAGUGUUUCGCAUUGGAGAGGGUUAGAGAUGGAAUGAGAGGGUAUAAUGGGGAUUAGGUCUCAUUCAAA
rnacentral:lncRNA from 1 species